rnacentral:lncRNA from 1 species
GUGCUCCAAAUUCCAUCCAAAUUAACUUUUUUGUUGUUGUUGUCUUUUGUUUUCCUCCAAGCCAGUAAGAGCAGUUAAAAGCCUUGAAAAUGGAUGUGCAGAUUUGGGGGAUUACUCCUGUUGUCCUUUGCCCCUAAUGAAGGAGAAAUUCCAGUGAGAAUGCUCCCUCGCUCAUUUUACAAAUGAAAAAAGAAUUGAAGCAAAUGAGGUUAAAUGCUUUCUCCUGGAUCAAACAACUAAUAGGAGUUAUCUAGGUGCCUCAGUGGAUGGAGAACCAGACCUAGAGAUGAGAGGUUCUGGAUCCAAAUUUGGCCUCAGACACAGUAUUGAUUGUAAGAUAGAAGUGGGAAGAAAAAUGAGACAAAAUUUGGAAGAUAACAGCAUCAAAUGGGAAUUAUUAAUCCCCUUGGUUUAGAGACAAAGGAAAAGAAAGAUGUCUUCAUGGAGGAGGUGAUGCCUUUAUCUCAAUCAAAAAGCAUAUAUUGAAUACCAAUUAUGUUUCAGGCCCUGCACUAAAUGCUGUAUAUAAAGAAAUGGGAAAAAACCUUAUCUUCUAGUAGCUCAGAAUCUAAUAAAAAACUCAAAUAGAAAUGGAUGCCA